rnacentral:rRNA from 1 species
UACGUAGGGUGCGAGCGUUGUCCGGAUUUAUUGGGCGUAAAGAGCUCGUAGGCGGCUUGUCGCGUCGACUGUGAAAACCCGCGGCUCAACCGCGGGCCUGCAGUCGAUACGGGCAGGCUAGAGUUCGGUAGGGGAGACUGGAAUACUUGGUGUAGCAGUGAAAUGCGUAGAUAUCAAGUGGAACACCAGUGGCGAAGGCGAGUCUCUGGACAUUUCCUGACGCUGAGGCACGAAAGCCAGGGGAGCAAACGGG